CGAUCUGUUUUGGUGUGUAUUGGAAGAGAGAAAGAGAGGGUUGGAGGAAGUUCAUGGAGAUGGGUGGCUAGGCAAGAAGAAAAAGAAGGCUUUGUCUAAUCUCGGGUCAUCGUCUUGCCUACGCCACCCCCAUUCCAUCCACUUCCUUCAAUUUCUCCCUUUCUCUUUCAGAUCUAUGUAAACACAUGAAUAGAGAGAGGAUAAGAGGGAAAGGGAGAGGGUUGCUGGGAGUUAUGGGUAUGGGGGGAUUGGGCAU
rnacentral:misc_RNA from 1 species